rnacentral:misc_RNA from 1 species
GUAGGUGAACCUGCGGAAGGAUCAUUACAUUUGCCCCUUGCGGGCGUGAGGUUGUAGCCAGCUACAGCCUCUCUUACACCCCCCAUUUGUGUACCCGUGUUUCCUCGGCGGCUCACCCGCCGUUUGGACAACCCAUAACCCUAUGUAUUUGCAUUCAGCGUCUGAAAUCAUAAUAAUUACAACUUUUAACAACGGAUCUCUUGGUUCUG